GACGAACGCUGGCGGCGUGCCUAAUACAUGCAAGUAGAACGCAGUUGCGAACGGGUGAGUGACGCGUAGGUAACUGCCUGGUAGCGGGGGGGAACUAUUGGUAACGAUAGCUAAUACCGCAUACUACCAGAUGGACCUGCGUUGUAUUAGUUAGUUGGUGGGGUAACGGCUCAACAAGGCAACGAUACAUAGCCGACCUGAGAGGGGGGUCGGCCACACUGGGACUGGGACACGGCCCAGAAUCCUACGGGAGGCAGCAGUAGGGAAUCUUCGGCAAUGGACGGAAGUCUGACCGAGCAACGCCGCGUGAGUGAAGAAGGUUUUCGGAUCGUAAAGCUCUGUUGUAAGAGAAGCGGUAUCUUACCAGAAAGGGACGGCUAACUACGUGCCAGCAGCCGCGGUAAUUC
rnacentral:rRNA from 1 species